CCUACGUGUGGCAGCAGUGAGGAAUAUUGGUCAAUGGGCGCGAGCCUGAACCAGCCAAGUAGCGUGAAGGAUGACUGCCCUACGGGUUGUAAACUUCUUUUAUAAAGGAAUAAAGUGAGGCACGUGUGCCUUUUUGUAUGUACUUUAUGAAUAAGGAUCGGCUAACUCCGUGCCAGCAGCCGCGGUAAUACGGAGGAUCCGAGCUUUAUCCGGAUUUAUUGGGUUUACUGGGAGCGUAGAUGGGUUGUUAAGUCCGUUGUGAAAGUUUGCGGCUCAACCGUAAAAUUGCAAUUGAUACUGGCAGUCUUGAGUACAGUUGAGGUAGGCGGAAUUCGUGGUGUAGCGGUGAAAUGCUUAGAUAUCACGAAGAACUCCGAUUGCGAAGGCAGCUUACUAAACUGCCACUGACAUUGAUGCUCGAAAGUGUGGGUAUCAAACAGGAUUAGAUACCCUUGUAGUC
rnacentral:rRNA from 1 species